rnacentral:lncRNA from 1 species
GGCUAGAGGAUAGGGGUUAGGGCUAGGGGUUAGGGCUAGGGGAUAGGGGAUAGGGAUAUGGAUAGGGGGUAGGGAUAGGGGAUAGGAAUAGUAGACCUAGGACCCCCUGCCAUGAUCAGAGAUCAGAUACUAUGGUGCCAUUUGGAAGGCAGAGAGACAAAAGGCCUGUUGUAUGUGAUCAUAGCUUUAAGUUAUUUUAUUCAUGUUGUUUAUUCCUCAAACAUUCCAACUGCCAACUCAUCUCGUAUGAUAAUAUCAUUGUUGUUACAAAUGCUUGUUAUUAUUGUGUUUUUGUUAUUGUUGUUUUGUUAUUGUUUACCCUUUUUGUUCUAUGAUUUUCCUUGUCUUUACGGUUUUAAUCUUGAACAUGUUGAACAAUGAAGUAAUUUUCAUUUUAUUUGAUCAGCUGUGAAUUUGUACUGACUGUGUCGAUCUGGUCGAUUUGGUUGUGUGUGUGUGUGUGUGUGUGUGUGUGUGUGUGUGUGUGUGUGUGUGUGUGUGUGUGUGUGUGGUUUGGCUGUGAUGUAAUGCUGUAGUUAGUAAUAACAUAGUCAUAGGUUAGCUAGUUAGUUAGUGUGACACCUUGUCAGUCCCUCUCUCUCUCUCCUUUCUCUUCUUCUAUAAAUCACACGCCUCCAUCACCUGUUCGUCUGCGUCAUGUGUAAUCUCAGGGGGCGGGCGAGGAGGACUGAUCUAUCCUAACACCAAAAAAAAUACAAUUAUAAAAGCACAAAUAAAGAUUAGUCACAAUAUCACAGAAAAAAAACCUUCCUAUGACUGAAGCACUAGACAACACAGUCAAUAGGGGGGGGGUUCCACUGAAAGAACCUCGCUGUUGGAACAGUAGAAUGAGAACACCUUGUUCUAAGAGGAUCACAACGUUCUAUAGCUACCAUGUCCCUGUACUGAAUACCACCUUGCUACAUAGUCUAAAGAACAUGUUGAAUCCGAGAAUGUAACUUAUAUAAAUACUAUGACGUCUGUAAAACGAAGACAACAACAACAGAAUAUAUGAUAACCAGCCAGUCAAAACAUAGGAAACACAAAUACACAGCAGUUAGACACUAGUUAGUCAUCACACCUGUACACCUGCUUCUGAAAUGGCACCCUAUUCCCUAUAAAGUACACUAGCUUUGGCCAGUAUGGCACCCUAUUCCCUAUAAAGCACACUAGCUUUGACCAGUAUGGCACCCUAUUCC